rnacentral:misc_RNA from 1 species
CACGCAGAACUACCUGUCUCACUCAGGUCUCUUCUGGCGUGUCUGGCCUUGGCUACCGCCACUCCCCUCAUCCCACCUGUGAAACGCAUGUACGUUUUGUCAACAUCGCGCCCGUCCACGGCGGCAUUUGGCGCUGCAGUCGGCAACUUCUGCGGCGAUGGGACGACGUACGUCGCGCUGAAUCGUGGAACGCUUCUCUCCCUCUACGUGUGUCGCCAGGGCAACUGUGGAAUCGACCACGUGCAAGACUUUCGCCUGCAUUGCACCUUAAAAUAUGUGCGAGCCGUCCUCAUCGUAGACGCCGCGGCGCCGCAGAAAUACUCACGGCACCUUCUUUUUCUGUGCACCGUCAAGCAGCAGAUUGUCCUCGCCGCCCUUGAGUCAUGCACAGAGCUCAGCGGCGGAGCAUCACCGCUGCGGAUGACAACGCUCUUCCAAAGCGCGCCGGACGACUGCCUGUACCAGUAUGACCCCAGCGAGGUCGAGUUGUGCUGCUGCUCGAGUGCGGUCACGGGUGCAGGCGCGUCGCCCCCGUUCGUUGUCUUUGCUCUGACACGUGGAGAACUCUUUCUUUUUGAUGUCUUUGCCGCCCUCGCCCGCGACGCGGUAAAGCGCAAGCAAAACGGAAACCUGACGCGUUUGCUUUCACCGGAGCUGAUGGCCAGCGUCGCUCGCCGAGCGAAAGCCGACAUCUUCUCCCACUGCUACAUGGACUGCACAGAGUACGACGUAAAGGACAUCUCCUUUGGAUUUCCUUCUCCAUGGCUGAAGGGGCAGGUCCACGGCACUGGCCCGCGGCCUGGCACAGCGGCAAUGAAGGGGGACAACGCUUCCGCGUCCACCUCUCUGUUCGUGCUCUACGGGGACCCGUACGGCAAGGUGCACGUGUCUGAGUAUGAGCUUGCCGUAUCGCCUGCCACAGAGGCCGAGGCGGCGAGCGAGACUAGCAGCGUGGAAAGCUCGAUCCGUCCACCGGCUCGUCCGCCAGCCUAUCCUGCCGAGUUCGCCACGCCGGCUCGCCGAGUGCGCCGUUGCGGAUUGCUGCAGGCGAAUGUCGAUCCCACGGCCUCGCGCAUCGUUUUUAGUCGUCACGGCCUGUUCGUUGUGGGCAAUCACCUUGUGACGCUUAUCCAGCAAGUCCGGCCGCGCAAGGGUGUGUUUUCGCGCGAGAUUCCCUCGCGGCAGGCUAUCCUGGAUGUGAGCUGCGCGUCCGUUUCCGCCGAUGCGUCAGAGCUGCUGAUCGGGUUCAGCGACGGUGUCCUUGCACGGGUGACGGUGGUCUCUAGGGGCAUGGUCGGCGAAGACCCGGAGUUGGCGUUUCGCUUUUUGUCUCGUCCGGCGCCGACGAUCCCGACGGAGGUGAUCACUCUGCACGCCGAUCUUUAUUUGCUAUGCUCACGAUUCGACAGCAGUUUCACCGUGCGGCUCGAUGAGGCGUCGUGCGAGGAGGUGCUGCAUAACUGCGGGCCGGUCUUAGACAUGACCACACAUCAAAACGGCAGUCGAUACAGCGUUGUGGCCUCCACCGGCAUCCACCGCGGCGGCGGCAUCAGCGUCCUGCGAAGCGCUGUCAUGCUGCGGGAGCAGGCGGACAUUCCCCUUUGCUUCCACCCGCAGCGCGUCCUUUGCGCCGGCGAGUUGAUGUGCAUCACGACGGCGGCCGCAGCGAACCGGUUCUUCCUUGUGUCGGCGCGCGCGCUCACGCUGAAGGAGCUCGCGCCUCAUGUGUUCCCGGAUAUCGUUUCGCGCCACCUGCUCGUCGAGCUGGGCCUCGAUGCUGCGCUCGACAAGUUGGUGCUCGUUUCCGCCCGUGGUAUAGCCUGGCUGCGGUUGUCGGGACCUCGAGUCGAGGCGGUGUCGCAACUGCCCCGCCAAGCCGAUGACCCGCUAAUCCUUUUUGCCGUCGUUCGACACGGCUUAACAGUCGUCUGCGACGGGAUCGUCGUAAGCGUGUACCGUGGCCAGGACCUGGUGCACACGGUGCCGUCUCUCGCCGGCGUCGCCAUCUCUUCGGUGUCGCUAGUGAGCCCUACGCUGCUCGUCGUGGGACAGUGGAACGGCGUUGUCGCCUUGUACGAGCUGGGGCGCCGCCAAGCCGACGUGGUAGGGCGACUGCUGUUGGACUCCGUGCCACGCACUAUCGCGUGCGCGGUACCGACGCCUUCACCGUCGUCAGUGGUGACCGAGGCUGCGUUGGCGAUCAUCUACGUUGGCACCCUCCACGGCGUUCUCGUGGAGACCACGGUUGCGCUCCUGCGUCGUGGGGAGACGCGUCGCUCUGUGUUCGUCGCCCCGCACCCACUCGAGCUCCUAGAGCUUGCAGGGCCGCACCCGGGGUUGCUGUGCCUCGGCAAUGUCCCCCUGGUCGUACUGUGUGUCGCGGGUGGCGGUCUGCAGCUGACCGGGCUGCACCUGAUGGGCGUCUCGGCAGCCGCGACGGUGGACGCCGACUUACAGUGCUACGCCUUUUACUCCAAGCAAGAUGGUCGCCUUCACAUUGGCUCCCUUGAGGCGCUCGAGAAGACGUCGCGGACGUUCUUGCCCCUCGGCGAAACGAUCACGCAGCUGCACGAAGCCGCUGCCUGGGGUGGCUACGUGGCAUCUGUGCGCAAGGUGGAAGGGGACGAGGUUCUUUUUCUCCCGUCGUCUGCCAUACAGUUCCCGUGGGCCGCCGACCUAUCUCUGUGGCGCUCUGCCGCCGUGCCGCUCCUCGAAAACGAGCGCUGUGUCUUUCUAGAGACGGUGCGGCUGGACGGUGCUGAGGGUGGCGGAGUGGGAGAAAGGGGUGGCGACCCGAUCGACGUGCCGGCGAGCGACGGCGCUGGUGUGAGCGAGGAGGAGUGGCAGCACCUGCUGCUCAUCGGCUCCUCAUUCACGUUUCCGGAUGAGCAGCGCGCGCGCUCCGGAAGGAUUACGUGGUGUACUCUGCGUGAGGAGCGUCAGCGGCAACGCCUGCACCUGAUCGCGAGCAAGGACAUUGGUGGCGCGCUGCAGUGCUGCGCUGCGGUGCCGCACUACAAGGGCCGCAUCGCGCUUGGCGUAAACGGUUGUGUCUGUUUGUACCAGUGGAAUACGGAGGAUCAAACCUUCGUGGCCGAGGAGCGCUGCCGUGUCGGGCUCACAGUGACAAAGCUGAUACCCCUCUACCACACAUCUCUGGCCGCCUCGGUGCUCGUUGCGUUGGACGUGCGCCACAGCGCCUUCUUCAUCGAGGUGGACACGUUGCAGGGAAACCUCAAGGUCCUUUGCCGCGAUGCCGACCUGCGCGGCAUCAUGGACGGCCACGUCGGCUCCGACGCCGAGAACCUCUGCCUCUUCGAUGAUAGCCUGAACUUCACGGCGUUAAAGGUGGUGCCUUUGCCUGUUGAGGCCAGGGACGGCGAUGCCGCUGCAGCAGCCCGUGCGACCGCGCAGUACCGGUUUGAAGUGCGUGCGCAAUGCCACCUGGGAGACUUGGUGACGUGCGUGCGGCAGGGCAGCUUUGCCGCCACGUCGCUGAUGGAGGCACCCGCGCACUGCUCAUCGGCGCAGAAUCAACUGCUUUUGCCGGGAAUUGCUGGUCCACAGCUCGUGUUCGCUACGGCGCACGGCGGCUUUGGUGUGGUGACGCCAGUGCACGCCGCCACGUACCUUGUCCUGCGCGCCCUUGAGGCGUCGCUGGUGCGCACGGUGCCACCCGUGGGUGGUCUCUCGCACCAGGCCUUCCGCGAGGUCUUACGCGCCGGCCAAGAGCGAGGGGUGAGCUACCUUGCGUCCAAGACGGGGUGCGCGCUGACGCGGGAGCGCUUGCGUCGGUAUGAGCCGCUCAACACUGUCGACGGCGACGUGGUAGAGCAGUUUGUGCUGCUCUCGCCGAGCGACAAGAAACACGUCUGCCGCGUCGCCACAGAGGUGUUUCUCCACGCCUUUACUCAGUGCGUCAAUGAGUCCGGGAUUUUUGUUGCGCCACCAUCGAAAGAGGAGCAGUGCAUCCUCGCGACCCUAGGAACAGCAAUGCGACCUUUUGCACAGUACCCCGAGGAGACGAUCGCCCAAGCGAAUUCGUUUCUGCAUCAAGGUGGCCUUCCGCAUGUCCCAUUCGCUGCGGAGGCGGUAGAGCAGCAGGUUAUGAAUCUUCAGCGGAUGCACUAAUCGCCGCCCGCCAGACACCGAGAAAGGCCCUGCGUGCGUGUUUUUGUGUGUUGCAUCUUUUUUUUUGUUGUUGUUUUUUGCUCCUUUGUGUCUGUCGAUUAAGAGGUCCUUCCUCGCCCAC